rnacentral:rRNA from 1 species
GGAAUUUUGGACAAUGGGCGCAAGCCUGAUCCAGCAAUGCCGCGUGCAGGAUGAAGGCCUUCGGGUUGUAAACUGCUUUUGUACGGAACGAAACGGUCCUUUCUAAUACAAGGGGCUAAUGACGGUACCGUAAGAAUAAGCACCGGCUAACUACGUGCCAGCAGCCGCGGUAAUACGUAGGGUGCGAGCGUUAAUCGGAAUUACUGGGCGUAAAGCGUGCGCAGGCGGUUAUAUAAGACAGAUGUGAAAUCCCCGGGCUCAACCUGGGACCUGCAUUUGUGACUGUAUAGCUAGAGUGCGGCAGAGGGGGAUGGAAUUCCGCGUGUAGCAGUGAAAUGCGUAGAUAUGCGGAGGAACACCGAUGGCGAAGGCAAUCCCCUGGGCCUGCACUGACGCUCAUGCACGAAAGCGUGGGGAGCAAACAGGAUUAGAUACCCUGGUAGUCCACGCCCUAAACGAUGUCAACUGGUUGUUGGGUCUUCACUGACUCAGUAACGAAGCUAACGCGUGAAGUUGACCGCCUGGGGAGUACGGCCGCAAGGUUGAAACUCAAAUGAAUUGACGG